rnacentral:tRNA from 1 species
CCGUCAAUAGCGCAGUCCGGUAGCGCAUCUGGUUUGGGACCAGAGGGUCGUAGGUUCGAAUCCUACUUGACGGAC